UCCACGCCGUAAACGAUGUCAACUAGACGUUGGGAGGGUUUAACCUCUUAGUGUCGGAGCUAACGCAUUAAGUUGACCGCCUGGGGAGUACGGCCGCAAGGUUAAAACUCAAAGGAAUUGACGGGGGCCCGCACAAGCGGUGGAGCAUGUGGUUUAAUUCGAUGCAACGCGAAGAACCUUACCUGCCCUUGACAUCCUCGGAAUCUUACAGAGAUGUGAGAGUGCCUUCGGGA
rnacentral:rRNA from 1 species